GGUGCUUGCAUCAUGAUUUACAUUUGAGUGAGUGGCGAACUGGUGAGUAACACGUGGGAAACCUGCCCAGAAGCGGGGGAUAACACCUGGAAACAGAUGCUAAUACCGCAUAACAACUUGGACCGCAUGGUCCGAGCUUGAAAGAUGGCUUCGGCUAUCACUUUUGGAUGGUCCCGCGGCGUAUUAGCUAGAUGGUGGGGUAACGGCUCACCAUGGCAAUGAUACGUAGCCGACCUGAGAGGGUAAUCGGCCACAUUGGGACUGAGACACGGCCCAAACUCCUACGGGAGGCAGCAGUAGGGAAUCUUCCACAAUGGACGAAAGUCUGAUGGAGCAACGCCGCGUGAGUGAAGAAGGGUUUCGGCUCGUAAAACUCUGUUGUUAAAGAAGAACAUAUCUGAGAGUAACUGUUCAGGUAUUGACGGUAUUUAACCAGAAAGCCACGGCUAACUACGUGCCAGCAGCCGCGGUAAUACGUAGGUGGCAAGCGUUGUCCGGAUUUAUUGGGCGUAAAGCGAGCGCAGGCGGUUUUUUAAGUCUGAUGUGAAAGCCUUCGGCUCAACCGAAGAAGUGCAUCGGAAACUGGGAAACUUGAGUGCAGAAGAGGACAGUGGAACUCCAUGUGUAGCGGUGAAAUGCGUAGAUAUAUGGAAGAACACCAGUGGCGAAGGCGGCUGUCUGGUCUGUAACUGACGCUGAGGCUCGAAAGUAUGGGUAGCAAACAGGAUUAGAUACCCUGGUAGUCCAUACCGUAAACGAUGAAUGCUAAGUGUUGGAGGGUUUCCGCCCUUCAGUGCUGCAGCUAACGCAUUAAGCAUUCCGCCUGGGGAGUACGGCCGCAAGGCUGAAACUCAAAGGAAUUGACGGGGGCCCGCACAAGCGGUGGAGCAUGUGGUUUAAUUCGAAGCUACGCGAAGAACCUUACCAGGUCUUGACAUACUAUGCAAAUCUAAGAGAUUAGACGUUCCCUUCGGGGACAUGGAUACAGGUGGUGCAUGGUUGUCGUCAGCUCGUGUCGUGAGAUGUUGGGUUAAGUCCCGCAACGAGCGCAACCCUUAUUAUCAGUUGCCAGCAUUAAGUUGGGCACUCUGGUGAGACUGCCGGUGACAAACCGGAGGAAGGUGGGGAUGACGUCAAAUCAUCAUGCCCCUUAUGACCUGGGCUACACACGUGCUACAAUGGAUGGUACAACGAGUUGCGAACUCGCGAGAGUAAGCUAAUCUCUUAAAGCCAUUCUCAGUUCGGAUUGUAGGCUGCAACUCGCCUACAUGAAGUCGGAAUCGCUAGUAAUCGCGGAUCAGCAUGCCGCGGUGAAUACGUUCCCGGGCCUUGUACACACCGCCCGUCACACCAUGAGAGUUUGUAACACCCAAAGUCGGUGGGG
rnacentral:rRNA from 2 species